GUCAGAACGUCUACCUCCACCUGAUGAAUUAGCAUCUCCCAUCUUAUAGAAUCCAAUUGCACCAGUAACCUUUCUUUUAAAGGUAUCAGUCUCUCUACCAAGACUUCACAGCAAAGUCUAACUGCUUCACAGCUAGACUCAGAUGCAGUGCUCCCAGCAUUGUACCCUCCUUGAAUUAAACUCAAGGUGUCUGUUUGUAUAACUCGUACUUUAUCCAAG
rnacentral:misc_RNA from 1 species